rnacentral:rRNA from 1 species
GUGCCAGCCGCCGCGGUAAUACGUAAGGAGCGAGCGUUGUCCGGAUUUACUGGGCGUAAAGGGCUCGUAGGUGGUUUCUUAGGUCUCACGUGAAAUUCCCUGGCUCAACCAGGGAGGGUCGUGGGAAACCGAGAGGCUAGAGGGCAGGAGAGGAGAGUGGAAUUCCCGGUGUAGCGGUGAAAUGCGUAGAGAUCGGGAGGAACACCGGUGGCGAAGGCGGCUCUCUGGGCCGAUCCUGACGCUGAGGCGCGAAAGCUAGGGUAGCGAACCGGAUUAGAUACCCGGGUAGUCCUAGCCGUAAACGAUGGGUGCUAGGUGUUGGGGGGUAAAGACCCUUCAGUGCCGGAGUUAACGCAUUAAGUACCCCGCCUGGGGAGUACGGCCGCAAGGUUGAAACUUAAAUAAAUUGACGG